rnacentral:rRNA from 1 species
UAGAAAURGGGAGCUAAUCACCGAAAACCUAUCYCAGUCCGGAUAAAAGGCUGCAAUUCGCCUAUUUGAAGUUGGAAUCACUAGUAAUCCUGUGUCAGCUAUAUCAGGGUGAAUGCGUUCCCAGGUCUUGUACACACCGCCCGUCAAACUAU